AGAGUUUGAUCCUGGCUCAGAUUGAACGCUGGCGGCAGGCCUAACACAUGCAAGUCGAGCGGAUGAAGGGAGCUUGCUCCUGGAUUCAGCGGCGGACGGGUGAGUAAUGCCUAGGAAUCUGCCUGGUAGUGGGGGAUAACGUCCGGAAACGGGCGCUAAUACCGCAUACGUCCUGAGGGAGAAAGUGGGGGAUCUUCGGACCUCACGCUAUCAGAUGAGCCUAGGUCGGAUUAGCUAGUUGGUGGGGUAAAGGCCUACCAAGGCGACGAUCCGUAACUGGUCUGAGAGGAUGAUCAGUCACACUGGAACUGAGACACGGUCCAGACUCCUACGGGAGGCAGCAGUGGGGAAUAUUGGACAAUGGGCGAAAGCCUGAUCCAGCCAUGCCGCGUGUGUGAAGAAGGUCUUCGGAUUGUAAAGCACUUUAAGUUGGGAGGAAGGGCAGUAAGUUAAUACCUUGCUGUUUUGACGUUACCAAU
rnacentral:rRNA from 1 species